GCAAUAUUCCAGCUAUUUAGUGAUUGUCUGUAAAUACUUCAGUCUGGACCAGACAAGCCCAUGAUUAACAUCACGUGCAUCGAUCUAAGCAAACAGGAUCUAAUGCAUCCAUCAA